CAGCAGCCGCGGUAAUACAGAGGGUGCGAGCGUUAAUCGGAUUUACUGGGCGUAAAGCGUGCGUAGGCGGCUUCUUAAGUCGGAUGUGAAAUCCCUGAGCUUAACUUAGGAAUUGCAUUCGAUACUGGGAAGCUAGAGUAUGGGAGAGGAUGGUAGAAUUCCAGGUGUAGCGGUGAAAUGCGUAGAGAUCUGGAGGAAUACCGGUGGCGAAGGCGGCCCCCUGGACAAAGACUGACGCUCAGGUGCGAAAGCGUGGGGAGCAAACAGGAUUAGAGACCCCAGUAGUCCCUGUCUCUUAUAC
rnacentral:rRNA from 1 species